CCUUGGAAAGAUGAGGAGGGAUUUUUAAUAUGUUCAGAAAUAUUUAUCAGUGCAGAAACUGAAUGUUUAGAAGCCACUGCAAUGAAGAUUAAAUUGGAGCAUUCAGGUUAAUGGAUGGCUAACAUUGUACUGAAGUCUUUAAUACAGGACAGGGAUCAUUUUCGGUACUUUACGAAGACUUUAUUUUAUUUUGAUAAUUCUGUAAGUAUUCUAUCAGGGUCCAGGGAGAAAACACUUAGGAUGCUUACUUAGGGCAAUCUGAGGAGAGAUCAAUCAAGGGACUGAUUCAAAUGUGUGCUUUAGAAACAGGGACGCCAAAAGAUGCACGCGGUAUCCCUGGGGUAGAACAAAAGGGGCUCUGUUGCUACCAGUAGCACUGAAAGGGCAGAGAGAGGAAGUGGUAAUUAUACCAGCACAUAGAGAGGGGAGGGUGCAGGAGGCCAUGUUAUGGGAGCUGAGAUCACAAUGGAGCCAUGCCAAUGCCUUGACCUUGCAAGAGAACCAGAGCCAGUGGAAGGAACACUAUAUCAGCGAGAUGCCAGAAAAACAAAAGGAAACAAAAAACAAUGCUCCCACUGUGGCCAGGCUCGGGCUACCUACCGCAGCCCCCGAGGCGGAGAGGCAGGCAGUCGCCUGCACAAACGCCACUGGAGCCACCUGCAGCACAUCGCUGGCUGUGCCAGGUGAUGCCAUUAACUUCCAGCUCCCUCUUCAUGAGCCUGGAACUGCAUCCUACGACCACUUCUCCUGCACCAGUUGACCCUGUGAGGCAUUCUGCUAGGAGGCCACAGGAGAGAUACUGGAAGACCAGGGCAGGCCCAGAUCUUUGUCCGUGGCUCUGCUGCCCUCUCCUCCAGCAAAGCAGCCAAUGGAUUAUGAAGGAAAAGAUAAACAGCCAUGAUAGAAAGUUUCCCAGCCAGUUGUGA
rnacentral:lncRNA from 1 species